rnacentral:rRNA from 1 species
UACGUAGGGGGGCGAGCGUUGUCCGGAAUUAUUGGGCGUAAAGAGCUCGUAGGCGGUCUGUCACGUCUGCUGUGAAAACUCGGGGCUUAACCCCGGGCCUGCAGUGGGUACGGGCAGACUAGAGUGCGGUAGGGGAGACUGGAAUUCCUGGUGUAGCGGUGAAAUGCGCAGAUAUCAGGAGGAACACCGGUGGCGAAGGCGGGUCUCUGGGCCGUAACUGACGCUGAGGAGCGAAAGCGUGGGGAGCGAACAGG